rnacentral:rRNA from 1 species
GCGAACGCUGGCGGCAGGCUUAACACAUGCAAGUCGAGCGGGCACUUCGGUGUCAGCGGCAGACGGGUGAGUAACACGUGGGAACGUACCCUUUGGUUCGGAAUAACGCUGGGAAACUAGCGCUAAUACCGGAUACGCCCUUUUGGGGAAAGGCUUGCUGCCGAAGGAUCGGCCCGCGUCUGAUUAGCUAGUUGGUGGGGUAAUGGCCUACCAAGGCGACGAUCAGUAGCUGGUCUGAGAGGAUGAUCAGCCACACUGGGACUGAGACACGGCCCAGACUCCUACGGGAGGCAGCAGUGGGGAAUAUUGGACAAUGGGCGCAAGCCUGAUCCAGCCAUGCCGCGUGAGUGAUGAAGGCCUUAGGGUUGUAAAGCUCUUUUGUCCGGGACGAUAAUGACGGUACCGGAAGAAUAAGCCCCGGCUAACUUCGU